UGGGGAAUUUUCCGCAAUGGGCGCAAGCCUGACGGAGCAAUACCGCGUGAGGGAGGAAGGCUUUUGGGUUGUAAACCUCUUUUAAUAAGGAAGAAGCAAGUGACGGUACUUAUUGAAUCAGCAUCGGCUAACUCCGUGCCAGCAGCCGCGGUAAUACGGAGGAUGCAAGCGUUAUCCGGAAUCAUUGGGCGUAAAGCGUCCGCAGGUGGCUAGUCAAGUCUGCUGUUAAAGACAGAAGCUCAACUUCUGAUAGGCAGUGGAAACUGGGGAGCUAGAGGAUGGUAGGGGUUGAGGGAAUUCCCAGUGUAGCGGUGAAAUGCGUAGAUAUUGGGAAGAACACCAGUGGCGAAGGCGCUCAACUGGGCCAUAACUGACACUCAGGGACGAAAGCUAGGGGAGCGAAAGGGAUUAGAUACCCCCGUAGUCC
rnacentral:rRNA from 1 species